CCUACGGGAGGCAGCAGUAGGGAAUAUUGCACCAUGGGCGAAAGCCUGAUGCAGCAACGCCGCGUGAGUGAUGAAGGCCUUCGGGUCGUAAAACUCUUUUCAAGGGGAAGAGGAAGGACGGUACCCUUGGAAUAAGCUCGUAACUACGUGCCAGCAGCCGCGGUACACUAGGAUGCAAGCGUUAUUCGGAUUUACUGGGCGUAAAGCGCGUGUAGCGGUUAGGAGAGUUGGAUGUGAAAGCUCCCGGCUUAACUGGGAGAGGUCGUUCAAAACUUCCUGACUAGAGUUUGGUAGAGGAAAAUGGAAUUCCGGGUGUAGUGGUGAAAUGCGUAAUAUCCGGAGGAACACCAGUGGCGAAAGCGAUUUUCUGGACCGAUACUGACGCUCAUACGCGAAAGCUAGGGUAGCAAACGGGAUUAGAGACCCCGGUAGUCCUAGCUGUAAACGAUGUAGACUUGGCGUUGGGAGAGUAAAAUCAUCCAGUGCCGAAGCAAACGCGAUAAGUCUACCGCCUGGGGAGUACGGCCGCAAGGUUAAAACUCAAAGGAAUUGACGGGGCCCCGCACAAGCAGCGGAGCGUGUGGUUUAAUUCGAUGCUACACGAAGAACCUUACCAGGGUUUGACAUAUAAGCGGUAGGGAAGGGAAACCGGACCGACCCUUCGGGGAGCUAUGAG
rnacentral:rRNA from 1 species